CUCUCCCUCUUCUUCCAAUUUUUUUGCUGCUGUGCUCCUCCGUCAUCUUGGUAACCAGCGUAGGGCUGAUCUUUCGAGCCCCCUUCUCUUUUCCUAAUGAUUGGCUCUGCUAUAUGGAUCCUGAGAGAAAGGGAUAGCAUGCAUCAUUUUUAGGAAGACGAGCCUGAAAUUCUCUGAGAUCAAAAUGCCUUUGUGGCAGUAUUAUGAUGGCAGUUGAUGCCAGAUAGUUCAACACAAGUUAGAUACUUAUUUCUUUCGUUCAUGUUUAACCAAGGAUAUUCUGGAGUUGCUCAGUUGGAGAUUAGAAGUGGAGAAAGUGAACAAAAUGGGUCAGGGAUUGAAGCAUUGUCUGGUUUAUGGUGUGAUAUUUGUAUUCUAUUUUUCAUAUGCUGAAAAGUAUAAAGAACUAUCCGGUGGUAUAUUGCAUUUCAUUGCAGGAUAGCAGGGGCUACGAGAAAACAUUGCAACUAAAUUAGUUAUCCCUCACCCAGGAUACAUAAUAAUUUUUCCAGCUUGGUCCAUAACGACCAGAUACUUUCUAUUGACACAUUUUGAGGACUAACUUACAUGUAUGCUUCCCAUUAUUAUAUGGUGAUAGGUCUUAUAUGCAUGAUUCUGUAUUGGUUGUAAGAAUAAUAUUAAUUAAAAAUUUUGUCAAUAAAGUGAAGUGAACGCAACGGUAAGUUCACCUGAUGCUUUUAGCUGUACUUAUAUGAUCAUGAUAUGUGCUUGGACCUGUAGAAAGGUUAAAGCUUGGGGCAAUAUGUGGCAUCAGUAACAUGAGUGCUUUGAUGAGUCUUGUGGUGGUUUCCCAUUUUGUCAAAGUUUUGAUGUGAUAUUGGUGAGAAUGAGAUCACAUUUAUGCAUCUCGUCCAAGAGAAAGUUAAGUGGCAACUACUGUUUGGAUGGAUGCUUGAUCGGUAGGUCUUGUUUUUAGUACUCUACCAAAAACGUGGUAUCAGUUUAUAUGUUCUUUAAUGCUCUUGUGGUGGUUUCUUAUAUAUUAUAAUUGGAUAUGGCACUAGCUAGAUCACAUUCAAUUAUUUGGUCUAGCUGGGGGUGAAAAUGAGCCGAGUAGUUGGCAAGCCGCUGGAGUUGGAAUUUGUUCCAAACUGGACUCAACUAUUGGGCUCGAAUAGCUCAAUAAUGUUUUUGAGUUGAGCUCAAAUAGCAAAAUGCCUGGCUGGG
rnacentral:lncRNA from 1 species